rnacentral:tRNA from 4 species
GCGGAAGUAGCUCAGUUGGUAGAGCGCAACCUUGCCAAGGUUGAGGUCGCGGGUUCGAGCCUCGUCUUCCGCUCAA